rnacentral:rRNA from 1 species
CACGUAGGGGCCAAGCGUUGUCCGGAUUUAUUGGGCGUAAAGAGCUCGUAGGCGGCUUGUCGCGUCGUUCGUGAAAACCUGCAGCUCAACUGCAGGCUUGCGGUCGAUACGGGCAGGCUGGAGUUCGGUGAGGGGAGACUGGAAUUCCUGGUGUAGCGGUGAAAUGCGCAGAUAUCGAGAGGAACACCUGCGGCGAAGGCGGGUUGCUGGGCUGACACGUGACGCUGAUGCGCGAAAGCCAGGGGAGCGAACGGG